rnacentral:rRNA from 1 species
AUUGAACGCUGGCGGCAUGCUUUACACAUGCAAGUCGAACGGUAACAGGCCUUCGGGUGCUGACGAGUGGCGAACGGGUGAGUAAUGCAUCGGAACGUACCCAGAGGUGGGGGAUAACGCAGCGAAAGCUGUGCUAAUACCGCAUGUGAUCUGAGGAUGAAAGCGGGGGACCGAGCAGCAAUGUUUGGCCUCGCGCCUUUGGAGCGGCCGAUGUCGGAUUAGCUAGUUGGUGGGGUAAAGGCCUACCAAGGCGACGAUCCGUAGCUGGUCUGAGAGGACGAACAGCCACACUGGGACUGAGACACGGCCCAGACUCCUAAGGGAGGCAGCAGUGGGGAAUUUUGGACAAUGGGCGGAAGCCUGAUCCAGCCAUGCCGCGUGAGGGAAGAAGGCCUUCGGGUUGUAAACCGCUUUUGGCAGGAACGAAACGGUGUCCGCUAAUACCGGGCGCUAAUGACGGUACCUGCAGAAUAAGCACCGGCUAACUACGUG